GCGGCUGCUAUUUUUUCCAGCCGUUCGCGUACUUCGUCCAAAUAACAACGGUUCUAUUUUCACAUUCAGACAACAAUGUUUAUGUAACCCGUUUUCAUUCACGUUGGCAUUCGCUCAAAAUUGUGAAAAUUAAAAUUGUUCUCUAACACCCUACAUACAGCCAAUUCCGAGCGAAAUUAAUUCAGUCCGCUUUGUGAAAUUAAAACACUCCAAGUUCCUGUGCAGUGACAAAAAAUAAUAAAAAAAUGAUCGUUCUCAAUUACGAUCGAACCUAUGGGGCGAAGAUGAACUAUUCGAAUGAACAUCGCUAUUAUUUCGAUAAGUUCUUGAGCUUGUAUUGGCCCUUGAGGACCACUCGCUUCCCGUAUUUGCCUUAUGAUCUUUUGGAUUUGUGGCCCACCGAACACCAUUUGAGAAAAAUUCGAGUGAGAAACAACUUGUAUGGGCUGUAUUCACGGAACUGAAGAUCUAUGGGACCAGAACUAGCUUAUUCUGGGGUUUUAAACCCUUACAACUGUUGAUGUGAAACGAAAUUUUUUUGUCGUUGUAAAUUAUCCAAUGCAAUGUAUUUAAUCGGAACAAUAAAUUAAGUUCUCUGUUAAAGGGG
rnacentral:lncRNA from 1 species